AGAGGGUUUGCGUGUUUUGGACUCAACCCCAGGGGGGCUCCGUAUAACCUGGAGAGCAGUGAGUGGAGCCAGCUCAUAUCGAAUCUACUGGAGGUCCUCACAAGGUGAACCUGAAUCAAGUCAUCAGAUUUAGUGCCGAUGCAACUUCGUACACCCUCGAUGGACUUCGUCCUGGUCUGAGCUACACUGUAAGAUUGUCUGCUGUGGUGGACGGUCAAGAGACUGAAGCUACCACCAUCAGAGCAACCACUGAUGCCCUGCCACCUGUGACUGGUUUGAGUGUGACAGACAGUACUGAGAAUUCAGUCCUUUUAGGCUGGUCACCAGUAACAGGAGCCACAGGAUAUAUUUUACGCUGGACAGAGG